rnacentral:rRNA from 1 species
UGGUGGAGUGAUUUGUCUGGUUAAUUCCGUUAACGAACGAGACCCCUGCCUGCUAAAUAGUUCGGCGAGUGAAUUUCACUGGCUAGAGCUUCUUAGAGGGACGUGCGUUCUAUUAGACGCAGGAAGAUAGGGGCAAUAACAGGUACGUCGGAAGCUGCUAUCAUUUUUGGUCCCACACAGCAAUAAUGUCAGAAACCGUAUCUUACCGUUUUCUUCUAUCUCUCUUGUUUCCCUCAUUUUAGG